rnacentral:rRNA from 2 species
GUAAUCGUGGAUCAGAAUGCCACGGUGAAUACGUUCCCGGGCCUUGUACACACCGCCCGUCACACCAUGGGAGUGGGUUGCAAAAGAAGUAGGUAGCUUAACCUUCGGGAGGGCGCUUACCACUUUGUGAUUCAUGACUGGGGUGAAGUCGUAACAAGGUAACCGUAGGGGAACCUGCGGUUGGAUCACCUCCUUA